GAUGAAGAACGUAGCGAAAUGCGAUACUUGGUGUGAAUUGCAGAAUCCCGUGAACCAUCGAGUCUUUGAACGCAAGUUGCGCCCGAAGCCAUCAGGUUGAGGGCACGUCUGCCUGGGCGUCACAUAUCGUUGCCCAAUGCCUAUUGCAGUGCAAUAGGAAUUUCUAGGGCGAAUGAUGGCUUCCCGUGAGCGUUGUUGCCUCGCGGUUGGUUGAAAAUCGAGUCCUUGGUAGGGUGUGCCAUGGUAGAUGGUGGUCGAGUUAGUACGAUACCGAUCAUGUGCAUGCUCCCCAAAAUAUGGCCUCUAUGACCCACACGCGUCUUUUGACGCUCAUGACGAGACCUCAGGUCAGGCGGGGCUACCCGCUGAAUUUAAGCAUAUCAAUAAGCGGAGGA
rnacentral:misc_RNA from 1 species